rnacentral:piRNA from 1 species
UAACAAUUGGUGCCGAAUUCCGGGA